UACAGAGGCCUCGAGCGUUAAUCGGAAUCACUGGGCUUAAAGGGUGCGUAGGCGGCGCUGCAAGUGCCUUGUGAAAUCCCAUCGCUUAACGAUGGAACUGCUCGGUAGACUGCAGUGCUUGAGGUUGGUAGGGGCUGCCGGAACUCUAGGUGGAGCGGUGAAAUGCGUAGAUAUCGCUUGGAACGCCAACGGAGAAAUCAGCAGGCUGGGGAUGUGCUGACGCUGAGACGCGAAAGCCAGGGGAGUAAACGGG
rnacentral:rRNA from 1 species